CCGGGGCGCCCGCCGCGCUCCUGCCCCGCGCUCCGGCUCCCUGUCCACCUGGGACGCGCGCACCAUGGACUCGGGACCCGGCUGCCGAAGACAGGCCGCCGUUUGGUUGGACAAUUAGCGGAGGUGGGCGGGGAGUUGACGAACCCCACACACGCGCCUCUCCAUGAAGAUUCUUGAGCUUUCUUUGAAGAAAGGAGUGCAUAUGCUGCAGUGUCUCUGUGGAAGGAGCCUGAGGUCCAGCAACAGCCUAAGUGAACCCCAAGGCUGAAAGGAUUUG